GAGACCGGCGCACGGGUGCGUAACGCGUAUGCAAUCUACCUUUUACAGAGGGAUAGCCCAGAGAAAUUUGGAUUAAUACCUCAUAGUAUGGAGAGUUGGCAUCAACACUGCAUUAAAGUCACAACGGUAAAAGAUGAGCAUGCGUCCCAUUAGCUAGUUGGUAAGGUAACGGCUUACCAAGGCUACGAUGGGUAGGGGUCCUGAGAGGGAGAUCCCCCACACUGGUACUGAGACACGGACCAGACUCCUACGGGAGGCAGCAGUGAGGAAUAUUGGACAAUGGGCGCAAGCCUGAUCCAGCCAUGCCGCGUGCAGGAUGACGGUCCUAUGGAUUGUAAACUGCUUUUGCACAGGAAGAAACAACGCUACGUGUAGCGUCUUGACGGUACUGUGAGAAUAAGGAUCGGCUAACUCCGUGCCAGCAGCCGCGGUAAUACGGAGGAUCCAAGCGUUAUCCGGAAUCAUUGGGUUUAAAGGGUCCGUAGGCGGUUUGGUAAGUCAGUGGUGAAAGCCCAUCGCUCAACGGUGGAACGGCCAUUGAUACUGCCAGACUUGAAUUAUUAGGAAGUAACUAGAAUAUGUAGUGUAGCGGUGAAAUGCUUAGAGAUUACAUGGAAUACCAAUUGCGAAGGCAGGUUACUACUAAUGGAUUGACGCUGAUGGACGAAAGCGUGGGUAGCGAACAGGAUUAGAUACCCUG
rnacentral:rRNA from 2 species